AGUAUCUGUAGGACGAUUACUAUAUUGUCAGAGUCCGUAAGUCGACGCGCGUGCGCGGCAAAUCUGCGAUGGCAGAAGAAAGGGCAGCAAACGCGUCCCGAAACGAGGUGCAUUGGAGUCAUCGCGUACCUCCAAGAGAAGGUCGUGAUGUAUGCGUUACGCGGCGAGUUCGCAGUGCUUUUCACCAAAGUUGCCCUCCCGCCUCCAUCGCUGUCUAGUUUCAUUGAGAGAUUCGCAUUGUCAGCUCCUCCAAGAUGAAUUGGUGCAUCGUUUGUUAAACAGAUUAAUUUCAUUAUUCACGCCUUCCAGCGCCAUGGAGAACUUCCGUGACCCCUGACCGUAUUAUUAUCUCGGCUUCCUUGAUGAGUUAUUUAUCCCGGGAGUCAAGAGGGAACCCAAGUUCAUCGAGGAUAAAAUGAAAGCCAAGCCAUCCGGCUCAGCUACGACGAAGAAACCGGAGGAGCCUAAGGAAGUUAAAUCGAAGACACAAACCAUUGAGCUGAACAUAAAAUUGUGCUGCGGCAACUGUGUGCAGAACGUGAGAAAGGCUCUCGAUGAUGUCAAAGGGGCGGAGAAGGUGGGUUGCGAACAGGAUCUAAACAAGGUGUAUGUAACGUGUACCGUGCAGCCGGAAAUCAUUUGAAGAAACUGCAAAAGGUGGACAAGCGCGCCACUCUUGUGAAGAAGAAGCAACAAAACUGAAACCACCACCAUAGCCAUCAUCUUCCAUCACACUCUACACGGUCCCACACAAGUUCUCAAAGGCUUUUGGCUAUGUAGCCUUGGCAGCUAUCUUCCAGCAUGCAACAGACCUCACUUGCCGACCGAAAACGAGCUCCGCUCAACCAUGCAGGGCUUCGUUUCGCGGGGGGGGAGGGGGGGGACGGGGGCAAGAGAAGAUCCGCCCGCUGUCAACUUGCCUCCCCAAGUCGUGGCGAUCUCCUGCACUUCUGAGGCCGCAUUCUCCUCCGAAAAAUACACCGUGUGAUAACUAAAACAGCGCAGACUCAUGAGAAGCUCUCCGGUGACUGCAGUUAAGCCUCACGACGCCUCACUGUACGGACAUCCUGUAUGCUAUAUCUGUAUAUAUUUAUGUUUAUAUAUAUAUAUAUAUAUAUAUAUAUGGGAAGAGCGAGUGAGAGAUAGAUGUAGAUACUGCGAUGGAUUCCUCCAGAGCGUGGAGACACCCGUGAGAAUGUCGACUGCGGAGCAUUGGAGCUGCUGCCGAGUGACGGAAGAUCGUCUUCAAUGACUCCACCGCCACAUUCCGCGUCUAGAAUUGCUGUUUUCUGACGGUAUGAAACCCGCAAUCACCCACCCUCAUGGCCGUUCCCCGCAUCGUCGCCAUCCCCCCACAGUAGAAGAAGAGCCUGUGCUUCAGUUGACUCCAACUGUAUAGUGACAACGUUGACAGCUUUAUCAAAGAAGAUCUACCGAUGGGGAACAUGAAGGAAUUUAAGAGCUUGAGAGUUCCAACGGAAGAGACUCUCAUGAAUUACCAGCACAGUAGUUUAAUAAAAGCAAUAUUUAGAAUGCAAAUAUGAGGUAGGGGAUAACUUCCGUCAUUUCAGAGAAACAUCACUCUGACGGAACGUCCCAUCUUCAAAUCCUUUGCUAGAGUUGAACUGAAGGGUUGAAUCUCCUUUACUCCAGUUUAUCCAUUCAUAAUUUAUGGAGUUUAGAACUUGGGGGACAUAUAGAUUCGAGGAACUUAUAUACUUCUAUUGUACGAAUGAAUACAAACGAAGAUUGAAACA